GAUGGACGCUGGCGGCGUGCCUAAUACAUGCAAGUCGAGCGAAUGGAUUAAGAGCUUGCUCUUAUGAAGUUAGCGGCGGACGGGUGAGUAACACGUGGGUAACCUGCCCAUAAGACUGGGAUAACUCCGGGAAACCGGGGCUAAUACCGGAUAAUAUUUUGAACUGCAUGGUUCAAAAUUGAAAGGCGGCUUCGGCUGUCACUUAUGGAUGGACCCGCGUCGCAUUAGCUAGUUGGUGAGGUAACGGCGCACCAAGGCAACGAUGCGUAGCCGACCUGAGAGGGUGAUCGGCCACCCUGGGACUGAGACACGGCCCAGACUCCUACGGGAGGCAGCAGUAGGGAAUCUUCCGCAAUGGACGAAAGUCUGACGGAGCAACGCCGCGUGAGUGAUGAAGGCUUUCGGGUCGUAAAACUCUGUUGUUAGGGAAGAACAAGUGCUAGUUGAAUAAGCUGGCACCUUGACGGUACCUAACCAGAAAGCCACGGCUAACUACGUGCCAGCAGCCGCAGUAA
rnacentral:rRNA from 1 species